AGAGUGAACGCUGGCGGCAGGCCUAACACAUGCAAGUCGAACGGCAGCACAGGAGAGCUUGCUCUCUGGGUGGCGAGUGGCGGACGGGUGAGGAUAACGUCGGAAUCUGCCUAUUUGUGGGGGAUAACGUAGGGAAACUUACGCUAAUACCGCAUACGACCUACGGGUGAAAGCGGAGGACCUUCGGGCUUCGCGCAGAUAGAUGAGCCGACGUCGGAUUAGCUAGUUGGCGGGUAAAGGCCCACAAGGCGACGAUCCGUAGCUGGUCUGAGAGGAUGAUCAGCCACACUGGAACUGAGACACGGUCCAGACUCCUACGGGAGCAGCAGGUGGGAAUAGUUGGACAAGUGGGCGCAAGCCUGAUCCAGCCAUCGCCGCGUGUGUAGAAGAAGGCCGUUCGGUUAGUAAAGCGUACGUUUUGUAACGGAAGAAAAGUCCGUAGGUUAAUACCCGUGGGU
rnacentral:rRNA from 1 species